UGGUUCUGGCAUCGAUGAAGAACGCAGCGAAAUGCGAUAAGUAAUGCGAAUUGCAGAAUUCCGUGAGUCAUCGAAUCUUUGAACGCACAUUGCGCCCCUUGGUAUUCCGAAGGGCAUGCCUGUUCGAGCGUCAUUAUCAACCCUCAAGCUUGGCUUGUUGUUAGGAUUUUGUCAGUAAAAUGACAUUCCUGAAAGACAAUGACGGCGUUUUCAAGACCCCUGAUACACUGAGCUUUUCAUAAGGCACGUAUUGUGGUGGACUUCAAAACUCGGCCUUUUGAUUAUUUCUAAGGUUGACCUCGGAUCAGGUAGGAUUACCCGCUGA
rnacentral:misc_RNA from 1 species